AAGCUAGUAAGUGGCAGAGACACUGCUUUUGGAAAAACGAACUUUCAGGAAGAAAAUGAAAACGUUCGUUUCACCUUAUGGAACACCGUGAGAGGGGGAGAAUCGUUAGCAAUGUUAUCAUCCCCGUUAUCUGUCUAGAGAUCAAUGAAAACAGACCACGUCAUAGUAUUGGGAACGAAAAACACGCGCUGGGUUUUUUUUUUUCAGUAAAAGUUUUUUUUUAAAGUCUUCUAGAGGAAAUCUGUUAUCUUUUUCUAUUAUUUUUUAUUUCUUUCUUUUAUCGAGACGUUGACCUUGUCUGUUUGACUGUUUAUCUCUUGCCUGUUUUGAAGAUCUAACAUUUAUUCUUUGUGAGGGCGAAAGAGAGCGAGAGAAGGAAGAAAUAGUGAGAACAAGAGAAAAGGAAAGAGUAGAAUUGAGAGAAGUAGAAGAUUACAUCGCCAGAAACAGACAAGACAACCCUACACAACAAUUCAGGUCGACAUCGUUCAGGGGUCUUUCAAAUUUGAUGAUCCAUUAGGUUGUCUUUAUUUAUUGUUAAGGUUUGUUUCUGUUACAUAGCCAUGGAGGAAUACAGAGCUGCCUAAGGAUUUUCUGAAUGACUUCUAGAUCUAGAUCUAGUUCUGGUCAAAAGGAGUUUGCAUAAACUCGUAGCAAGAAUCAUUAAGAAUCUGCAUUAUACAGAAAACAUUCUUAGUACAUCUUUGCUGUAGCUUGAUGUGAGCAGCUGAUAUCAUAUUGAUUUUUAAUCUACUGGGGGGGGGGUAUAGCGAAUUGUCUGGUUGGAUAAAUAGAUAGACGUAGAGUCAGAUUGCAAGGACAAACUGAGGGAACAUGGAAAUAAAGUUGUUGGUCAGCAUACAGCCAGAUACAAAACGGCGGACAAUAGAUGGACAGACAAACAGGCAUGUAGUGACAGCAUUGCCGCAGCUAGUGAAACUCCCAAAAACUGACAUGCAGCAAGAAUAAAACAUCUAGAAUGAAUCUUGAAGACGAGCAUUUAAAAUUUACUGUAUAUAGCAAUGGUCACUGCUCUCAUAACAAUGGUCGUUUCUCUUAGUAGUGGUCACUUCUCACUUAGCAAAGGUCACUUCUCUUUUAGCAAUCGUCACUGCUUUUUUACCAAUGGUCCCUGCUCUCUUAGAAUGGUCACUCUUACCAAUGGUCCUGGCUCUCUUAGAAUGGUCACUCUUAGCAAUGGUCGCUGCUCUCUUAGCAAUGGUCGCUGCUCUCUUAGCAAUGGUCGCUGCUCUCUUAGAAUGGUCACUCUUAGCAAUGGUCGCUGCUCUCUUAGCAAUGGUCGCUGCUCUCUUAGCAAUGGUCGCUGCUCUCUUAGAAUGGUCACUCUUAGCAAUGGUCGCUGCUCUCUUAGAAUGGUCACUCUUAGCAAUGGUCGCUGCUCUCUUAGCAAUGUGAAUCGCUCAGAGUUCUAUUAUAAAAGGAACACAUGUUUGCCAUGUAGUGUGUAAUGCAGGCCUACUAUAUAUAGAAUGUUGGGAACGGUAAAGCAGUAUGAUCUCUACCUGCUAUUUUUAGAGAAUGAUCGAAUAGUUUAUUUUUGGGAUCUACACGGGCAGAGUUUAGCAAGAAGAGGACAAAACUGAUGUCUGAUGACUGAAUGGCGACUGCAAGCAGAUUUCAGAGAGUCGAUAAUGAAAUUAACAAUCCUGCAAAUUAUGUUUUGCUUAUUGAUGCACUGAUAUAGAAAGUCUUUAGCUAUUUACAAAUAAACGUUUCAUUUAGAAACUGGAUUUUC